GCGGGGCUGGGCUCAGCGGUAGAGCGCUCGCCUCGCGUGUGUGGGGCCCUGGGUGCGAUCCUCAGCACCACA
rnacentral:tRNA from 1 species